AAUCCGUGGUGAGAGAAUUUUUGAAUCAUCAUUUUGAAGCGUUUCCACACUUCAUAAAAGCUUUCUCCUUCCAUCUGUCUAAAGACAACAAUCUCUCUUAUUAGUUG
rfam:Gossypium hirsutum cultivar TM-1 chromosome 18, whole genome shotgun sequence